rnacentral:rRNA from 1 species
ACUCCUGCGGGAGGCAGCAGUGGGGAAUAUUGCACAAUGGGCGCAAGCCUGAUGCAGCGACGCCGCGUGGGGGAUGAAGGCCUUCGGGUUGUAAACUCCUUUCGCUAGGGACGAAGCUUUUUUGUGACGGUACCUAGAUAAGAAGCACCGGCUAACUACGUGCCAGCAGCCGCGGUAAUACGUAGGGUGCGAGCGUUGUCCGGAAUUACUGGGCGUAAAGGGCUCGUAGGUGGUUUGUCGCGUCGUCUGUGAAAUUCUGGGGCUUAACUCCGGGCGUGCAGGCGAUACGGGCAUAACUUGAGUGCUGUAGGGGUAACUGGAAUUCCUGGUGUAGCGGUGAAAUGCGCAGAUAUCAGGAGGAACACCGAUGGCGAAGGCAGGUUACUGGGCAGUUACUGACGCUGAGGAGCGAAAGCAUGGGUAGCGAACAGGAUUAGAUACCCGAGUAGUCCCAUGA